CCUGGAAAACCCGGGGCAGAGCGUGGCUGGCGCGGAGUCGCGGGACAGCUCGGGCCCGGGUCGAGGCACCAGCCAGAGUUUCGCAGACAGCAGUGAGCAAACCGGCAGCCAUGCCCGUCGCCAUGUGUGAAAGGAGAACCAAAAGGAAGCCAGCACGCAAGACCCCUCGUGACUGAGGGAAAAGCAGCACCAGAAGAGCUCGCAAGAAGUGGACUGAGCAUCUACAGUCUGCCAGACACAGGUGGAGAAAGAGAGCGGAGGCUUACGGAGGAACCGCCAUCCCCACGUGAAUCAUCACAGCACA
rnacentral:lncRNA from 1 species